rnacentral:lncRNA from 1 species
AUGGGAAAGAAGGGGAAAAAAGGGUUAAGAAACUUGGCUGAAGAGCUGAAUGGCGUCGAGCGGCGAGGGGAGGGACUGGGCCGCGGCGGACUCAGCGGCGGAGGGAGGAGCGCGGCUGCGGGCGGGCGGCGAGCGAGGCGCUCAAAGUCAGCCUCGCAGACAUUGCAGCAGAGCCCCGAACUCGGGAGGCGGCGGCGGCGGCGGCGGAGGAGGAGGCGGCGGCCGAGGCGGAGGGACGACCCGGCCCCACGCCCGCCCGCGCGCCCGCACGCCCGCCCGUGGCCUCGCGUCCGCCGCUGCGCUCGGCAGUGCUGCCGGUCGGAGGCAAGAGCUCGCUGGGGCGCCGAGGGAGGACGGGGCGGUGGGGCGCCUUCGCGGAGUGAGCCUGCCGGAGCCCCGGGCUCGGAGCCGCGGCGGCCUCGGAGUGUUUGGAUUGUGAGCAAUUUAAGCUCUAUCCUCAGGAUCCAUUAUUUUAACAUUUGGGAGAAACACAUCCAGAAGGUUUCUCACAGUCCCGGGAGUGCUGGUAAGAGUGGUAGCAGGAAGGGUUCCUUAUGCUUCAAGGCCUUGUCAGCAGAUACCAGCCAGCUCCUCUGAAGAUAUUUACUUUUACUCUUGUCAGGAAUUGGUCGUUUUCUUUGGUGAAUAUGCCUGUUUAGAGAC